rnacentral:rRNA from 1 species
UACGUAGGGUGCAAGCGUUGUCCGGAAUUAUUGGGCGUAAAGAGCUCGUAGGCGGUCUGUCGCGUCGGAUGUGAAAAUCCAGGGCUCAACCCUGGACCUGCAUUCGAUACGGGCAGACUAGAGUUCGGUAGGGGAGACUGGAAUUCCUGGUGUAGCGGUGAAAUGCGCAGAUAUUGGGAGGAACACCAGUGGCGAAGGCGGCUACCUGGACCGGAACUGACGCUGAGGCGCGAAAGCGUGGGUAGCAAACAGG